AAGGCUAAAUACUACCUAGUGACCGAUAGUGAACCAGUACCGUGAGGGAAAGGUGAAAAGAACCCCGGGAGGGGAGUGAAAGAGAACCUGAAACCGUGUGCUUACAAGUAGUCAGAGCCCCUUGAGGGUGAUGGCGUGCCUUUUGUAGAAUGAACCGGCGAGUUACUUUAUCAUGCGAGGUUAAGUGGAAGACAUGGAGCCGAAGCGAAAGCGAGUCUUAAUAGGGCGAAAUAGUAUGAUGGAGUAGACCCGAAACCAAGUGAUCUACCCAUGGCCAGGUUGAAGUUUAGGUAACACUGAAUGGAGGACCGAACCAGGACACGUUGAAAAGUGUUUGGAUGAGCUGUGGGUAGCGGAGAAAUUCCAAUCGAACUUGGAAAUAGCUGGUUCUCUCCGAAAUAGCUUUAGGGCUAGCCUCGUUGUGAGUUUACUGGAGGUAGAGCACUGUUUGGACUAGGGGCCCAUCCCGGGUUACCGAAUUCAGACAAACUCCGAAUGCCAGAUAAAUAUCAACGGGAGUCAGACUGCGGGUGAUAAGGUUCGUAGUCGAAAGGGAAACAGCCCAGACCGCCAGCUAAGGUCCCAAAUUGUAUGUUAAGUGGAAAAGGAUGUGAUGAUGCACAGACAACCAGGAUGUUGGCUUAGAAGCAGCCACCAUUUAAAGAGUGCGUAAUAGCUCACUGGUCGAGUGACAUCGCGCCGAAAAUGUACCGGGGCUAAACAUACAACCGAAGCUGCGGAUAUAACUAAUGUUAUAUGGUAGGAGAGCGUUCUAACAUCGUAGAAGCCGAGCUGUAAGGCGAGGUGGAGAGGUUAGAAGUGAGAAUGCCGGUGUGAGUAGCGAAAGAUAGGUGAGAAUCCUAUCCACCGAAUGACUAAGGUUUCCAGAGGAAGGCUCGUCCGCUCUGGGUAAGUCGGGACCUAAGGUGAAGCCGAAUGGUGAAGCCGAUGGACAACAGGUAGAAAUUCCUGUACCACCAAAUAUCGUUUGAGAGAAGUGGGGACAGAGGAGGCUAAUUGAUCGUCCUGAUGGAAUAGGACGUCUAAGCACAAAGGUUGAGUAGUAGGCAAAUCCGCUGCUCGAUAAGACUGAAGUGUGAUGGGGAGCGAAAUAUAGUAGCGAAGUCAAUGAAGCCAAACUCUCAAGAAAAGCCGCUAUCGAGAUAAGAGGUGCCCGUACCGCAAACCGACACAGGUAGUUGGGAAGAGAAUUCUAAGGUGAGCGAGAGAACCAUCGUUAAGGAACUCGGCAAAAUGACCCCGUAACUUCGGGAGAAGGGGUGCCUACGAGAGUAGGCCGCAGUGAAUAGGCCCAAGCGACUGUUUAACAAAAACACAGGUCUCUGCAAAACCGAAAGGUGAAGUAUAGGGGCUGACGCCUGCCCGGUGCUGGAAGGUUAAGAGGAGUGCUUAGGAGUAAUCCGAAGGUAUGAAUUGAAGCCCCAGUAAACGGCGGCCGUAACUAUAACGGUCCUAAGGUAGCGAAAUUCCUUGUCGGGUAAGUUCCGACCCGCACGAAAGGCGUAACGAUUUGGGCACUGUCUCAACGAUGGACUCGGUGAAAUCAUAGUACCUGUGAAGAUGCAGGUUACCCGCGACAGGACGGAAAGACCCCAUGGAGCUUUACUGUAGCUUGAUAUUGAAUUUUGAUGCAGUAUGUACAGGAUAGGUAGGAGCCAGAGAAUCAUGCACGCCAGUGUAUGAGGAGGCGUUGUUGGGAUACUACCCUUGCUGUAUUGAAAUUCUAACCCUCGGCGUAGAAGACCGGGAGACAGUGUCAGGUGGGCAGUUUGACUGGGGCGGUCGCCUCCUAAAGAGUAACGGAGGCGUUCAAAGGUUCCCUCAGAAUGGUUGGAAAUCAUUUGCAGAGUGUAAAGGCACAAGGGAGCUUGACUGUGAGACUUACAAGUCGAGCAGGUGCGAAAGCAGGACUUAGUGAUCCGGUGGUUCCGCAUGGAAGGGCCAUCGCUCAACGGAUAAAAGCUACCCUGGGGAUAACAGGCUUAUC
rnacentral:rRNA from 1 species